rnacentral:lncRNA from 1 species
UUUAGAUCUAGACUCAGUUUACACAUACCACAGACCCUGGAGAAUGUGAUUCAGUAAGGGAAAUGACUUUACUUGACCAUAGCUAACUUGUGGCAAUUAUUCUUUGCUGGUGUGAUGAUCUCAGGAUAUGCAUGGGGAACGGGAAAUCAAUCCCUUUAGAAACUUUACUUGAACGUUGUGGCCACCUCUUAUUUGCAGCCUGCCUAGAUAACUGAUGAAAAGCUCACAUGCAGGAACAGACUUGCCAUCUCCUUAACACUGUGGUCCAGGGUAGCAGAAAAGUCAAGUGAAAAAACCAACCUGCAGAAAUGAGGUCAGACAAGCCAGAGGGAACUAACUUUCCUUUUAGCACCAGGGAGCCUGCAGGCUUCCCAUCUACUGCCUGUUAUUAACAGCCAAGAAGCAAGGCAGAGGCAGUCCCUGCCCUCUCUCCAGGCUGGGAGGUGUUAAUGGAUGGGUGUGAGAGGAUGCCAUUGGGGUGGAGGUGAAAGAUGAGUGAUCUGAACACAGCCAUCAGGUUUAUUCCUGCCAGCUGCUCUGAGCCAAGUGAAGUGAUAUAAUCACAGAGCAGGCAAGCCCCAGAGAUCUGAGUAGGGGGGUGCGGAGGUGUCUAGUAGGCAGCUGUGUGCCUCCCUUAUAGGAGGGUGUUGUCAGGACUGUGAGGUUUGAGCUUUUUGGAUGGAGAAGGUGUAUCUCCAAGUCAGAGGAUGGCACCAGCUUCUCCCUUGAAACAAGCUUCCUACUGUUCCAUCCCACAGAAAAUAAGUUCAGGAAGUGUGUCACAUUUUUAGGAGGUUUUGCAGACUGUGUUUGCUGGUUAUCUUUUUUACCACGGGGGUUCAAGAUAUUCUACAUGUAAUAUGGGCUGGGUUUACUCUUCCAAUUCCACUAAACCAUCAGAAGAUCCAUACAGAUCAGUAGCCCUCACAUCCUCAUCUUUCUGGAAGGACAUGUCUACUUUCUCCCACUGGCUUUGUAAGAAUAUGGCAGUGCAUGAGCAAGGUGAAUUUUAUCUGCAGCUGAGAAGAUCAUGCCCAGGUGACAGCAGUGCUAGACCUACUGCAGCUCAGCAAGUUGCCCCUGACUGACUGAUCUGCAGUGAAGUGUUGAACCCCUCUUCUUCAUUUACUGGAAAUCAUUUCCUAGUCUAGACUUGGAAACCAGCAGCAGAAUUUGCAUGGAAGAUAUCUGCUGCCCAACUUGUGCAGAAACUUUGCUCCUUAAAAUGUUUUUUUUGUUUUUUUUUUUUUUUUUUAAAAUGUGAGAGUGAACCUUGUGUCAAAAUAAUGAGCUUCAUGCAUUCAAAUUAGAGCUUGAGUGUUAAUUAGGUCACUCUUACUAAAAUGAUUUAUUGAAUUAUAUUUGGUAUUAGCAGCCCUAAGUUUUCCUCCAUGGAGAGUCAGUGAAAAUCACCUUCAUCAAUCUUCAAGACUUUAUUAAACUUAUUUUUUCCCUCUAUUUUUUUUAAUUUAUUAAAUAAUCUACUCUGAGAGACUGAUUGAGUAGUUCUUCAAGACAUUGAGAAGCCUCAUAAGAAAAAACAAAUCUUAAUUUUUAGGUUUUUAAGGCAGAUUAAUAAAAAUAUGCUUUAGGAGCCUAAUUAACUAUUU